CCUACGGGGUGCAGCAGUGGGGAAUAUUGCACAAUGGGGGAAACCCUGAUGCAGCGACGCCGCGUGAGCGAUGAAGUAUUUCGGUAUGUAAAGCUCUAUCAGCAGGGAAGAAAAUGACGGUACCUGACUAAGAAGCCCCGGCUAACUACGUGCCAGCAGCCGCGGUACUAUGUAGGGGGCAAGCGUUAUCCGGAUUGACUGGGCGUUAAGGGAGCGUAGACGGCGGUGCAAGCCAGAUGUGAAAGCCCGGGGCUCAACCCCGGGACUGCAUUUGGAACUGUGCUGCUAGAGUGGCGGCGAGGCAGGCGGAAGUCGUAGUGUAGCGGUGAAAUGCGUAGAUAUUAGGAGGAACACCAGUGGCGAAGGCGGCCUGCUGGACGAUGACUGACGUUGAGGCUCGAAAGCGUGGGGAGCGAACAGGAUUAGAUACCCCUGUAGUC
rnacentral:rRNA from 1 species